rnacentral:rRNA from 1 species
UACGUAGGUGGCGAGCGUUAUCCGGAAUGAUUGGGCGUAAAGGGUGCGUAGGCGGCCUGCUAAGUCUGGAGUGAAAGCCCCCGGCUUAACCGAGGAAUUGCAUCGGAAACUGUGUUUCUUGAGUGCAGAAGAGGAGAGUGGAACUCCAUGUGUAGCGGUGGAAUGCGUAGAUAUAUGGAAGAACACCAGUGGCGAAGGCGGCUCUCUGGUCUGUAACUGACGCUGAGGCUCGAAAGCAUGGGUAGCGAACAGG